rnacentral:rRNA from 1 species
AACGUAGGUGGCCAGCGUUAUCCGGAGGGGGUGUGCGUAAAGGGCGUGUAGGCGGUAUGUUAAGUCUGGCGUGAAAGCUCUCGGCUAAACCGGGAGAGGUCGUUGGAUACUGGCACACUUGAGGAUGGUAGAGGCGUGUGGAAUUCCGGGUGUAGUGGUGAAAUGCGUAGAGAUCCGGAGGAACACCAGUGGCGAAGGCGACACGCUGGGCCAUACCUGACGCUAAAGCGCGACAGCAUGGGGAGCAAACGGG